rnacentral:sRNA from 1 species
CCUCACCCACAGACACCACCAGAGAACUUAGUGGGAUGUGUGGAGGAGGUCUUCCAAAGUCCAGAAUUGCUGAAAAUCAAGCUGAGACUUACUUCCAGAACCUCACCAUAUUCCUCUAAUGAAGCCCUUUAAAGGUUACCCAGCCAUCAGGAGACCCAAGAAGCCACCGCCUCCAUCCGCUCCUGUCAUCAAACAAGGGGCAGGCACCACUGAGAGAAAACAUGAAAUUAAAAAGAUACCUCCUGAAAGACCAGAAAUGCUUCCAAACAGAACAGAAGAAAAA